CCGCAUUAGGGAUUGAAACGGCAUCCUUUUUUUGCUUUUAUAUAUGGCAAAAAAAGAUACAGUGUAAAGCCCGACCUUUA
rnacentral:sRNA from 1 species